GGUCGCCAGAGUAACUGUUGUUCGGCGUGACGGUAUCCAAACCAGAAAGCCACGGCUUAGCUACGUGCCAGCAGCCGCGGUAAUACGUAGGUGGCAAGCGUUAUCUGGAUUUAUUGGGCGUAAAGCGAGCGCAGGCGGUUUUUUAAGUCUGAUGUGAAAGCCCUCGGCUUAACCGAGGAAGCGCAUCGGAAACUGGGAAACUUGAGUGCAGAAGAGGACAGUGGAACUCCAUGUGUAGCGGUGAAAUGCGUAGAUAUAUGGAAGAACACCAGUGGCGAAGGCGGCUGUCUGGUCUGUAACUGACGCUGAGGCUCGAAAGCAUGGGUAGCGAACAGGAUUAGAUACCCUGGUAGUCCAUGCCGUAAACGAUGAAUGCUAGGUGUUGGAGGGUUUCCGCCCUUCAGUGCCGCAGCUAACGCAUUAAGCAUUCCGCCUGGGGAGUACGACCGCAAGGUUGAAACUCAAAGGAAUUGACGGGGGCCCGCACAAGCGGUGGAGCAUGUGGUUUAAUUCGAAGCAACGCGAAGAACCUUACCAGGUCUUGACAUCUUUUGAUCACCUGAGAGAUCAGGUUUCCCCUUCGGGGGCAAAAUGACAGGUGGUGCAUGGUUGUCGUCAGCUCGUGUCGUGAGAUGUUGGGUUAAGUCCCGCAACGAGCGCAACCCUUAUGACUAGUUGCCAGCAUUUAGUUGGGCACUCUAGUAAGACUGCCGGUGACAAACCGGAGGAAGGUGGGGAUGACGUCAAAUCAUCAUGCCCCUUAUGACCUGGGCUACACACGUGCUACAAUGGAUGGUACAACGAGUUGCGAGACCGCGAGGUCAAGCUAAUCUCUUAAAGCCAUUCUCAGUUCGGACUGUAGGCUGCAACUCGCCUACACGAAGUCGGAAUCGCUAGUAAUCGCGGAUCAGCACGCCGCGGUGAAUACGUUCCCGGGCCUUGUACACACCGCCCGUCACACCAUGAGAGUUUGUAACACCCGAAGCCGGUGGCGUAACCC
rnacentral:rRNA from 1 species